AGCAGAAAGUGGCGAACGGGUGAGUAACGCGUGGGUAAUCUACCCUGUAAGUGGGGGAUAACCCUCCGAAAGGAGGGCUAAUACCGCAUAAUAUCUUUAUCCCACAAGAGGUAAAGAUUAAAGAUGGCCUCUAUACUAUGCUAUCACUUCAGGAUGAGCCCGCGUCCUAUUAGUUAGUUGGUGGGGUAAUGGCCUACCAAGACUACAAUGGGUAGCCGGUCUGAGAGGAUGUACGGCCACACUGGGACUGAGAUACGGCCCAGACUCCUACGGGAGGCAGCAGUGGGGAAUAUUGCGCAAUGGGGGAAACCCUGACGCAGCGACGCCGCGUGGAUGAUGAAGGCCCUUGGGUUGUAAAAUCCUGUUCUGGGGGAAGAAAGUUUAAGAGUCCAAUAAACCCUUAAGCCUGACGGUACCCCAAGAGAAAGCUCCGGCUAAUUAUGUGCCAGCAGCCGCGGUAAUACAUAAGGAGCAAGCGUUAUCCGGAAUUAUUGGGCGUAAAGAGCUCGUAGGCGGUCUUAAAAGUCAGGUGUGAAAUUAUCAGGCUCAACCUGAUAAGGUCAUCUGAAACUUUAAGACUUGAGGUUAGAAGAGGAAAGUGGAAUUCCCGGUGUAGCGGUGAAAUGCGUAGAUAUCGGGAGGAACCACCAGUGGCGAAGGCGGCUUUCUGGUCUAUCUCUGACGCUGAGGAGCGAAAGCUAGGGGAGCAAACGGGAUUAGAUACCCCGGUAGUCCUAGCUGUAAACGAUGGAUACUAGGUGUGGGAGGUAUCGACCCCUUCUGUGCCGCAGCUAACGCAUUAAGUAUCCCGCCUGGGGAGUACGGUCGCAAGGCUGAAACUCAAAUGAAUUGACGG
rnacentral:rRNA from 1 species